GCUCGAUCCCAGAACACCGGGAUCACGCCCUGAGCCGAAGGCAGACGCUUAACGACUGAGCCACCCAGGCGCCCCUAAAGAUUUUAUUUUUUAAGUAAUCUCUACACCCAGAUGGGACUCGAACUCACAACCCCGAGAUCAAGAGUCACAUGCUCCCCCAACUGAGUCAGCCAGGUGUCCCUUGUCUGUACUUCUGUGGUUGACCAUCUCUAAGUAAAUACGUGCUUUCUACUUGAACUAACCUAAUACGUUUCUCGACACAGGAUUUUCAAAGCCUCAGGAGCAUCAGUUUGCAAAUCCCCAGCAGUCUCACAGGGGAGAAGCAAUAGGGAAACGUGCAACGCAACAGCUACAGCAUGAGAUCAGCAAUAAUGAUGCACCCUGGCAGCUCCCAACCCCCAAUUAUGUCAUGCUGUACCUGACCGCUGACCCAAGAACAGAAGUGCUGGCGCUGAACGACCUUCCUCCCCUGGGCUUCCUUCCAUCCCAGGCUGCCUGGCUUCUGCUGCCCAAACAAGGUCUCCAGCUUCAGCUCUUCUCCCGGCCUUUCCUAAACAUGCGUGCCCUGGCCCACCUUCCCAGGACUCUGUGUCAGGCGACAGCCAGCCACUGUGCACACCAUGUUAACAGGCAUCGUUCAGGUCAGAGAAAUCUCAGAAAAUCAACACUCCAAUGUCCCUGCCUGUGACCACAGACACUGAAGUGUUUUCCAAGUACGUUUCUGUGGCCGAAAGGGAUGGCCCAAUCUGAGGCUGGCACCUACCCAGAAGUCUCUCUCUGUAACACAGCAGAUACUGGACACAGACCACAGGUUUUGCUAACUUGUUCUUUGAGGUCAGUUUAUUUAAGAAGUGGCCAGAGCAUGGGGUGCCAAUCUGGCUCUGUGAGUAGAGCAUGUGACUCUUAAUCUUGGGGCUGUGAGUUCGAGCCUGCUGUUGGGUGUAGAGAUCACUUAAUAAAAUCUUUAGGGGGCACCUGGGUGGCUCA
rnacentral:lncRNA from 1 species